rnacentral:ribozyme from 1 species
UACCAUCAGGAGUUUGUCACACCCCUCAGGAACGAGCUGCAGAAAGGCUGCCAGGCGCCGGAUCUCUUGAAGCUCAGGAAGGGCGCACAGGUGAUGCUUGUGCGCAACGAAAUCUCGGAUUCGCCGGAUCGCUUGGUAAAUGGCUCUCGCGGCACCG